rnacentral:tmRNA from 1 species
GGGGUAGUUAAGGUUUCGACAGGGAAUUUGAAACUGGAGAAGCUGUCCGGUGCGAACCGUUAAUCGCAACCUAAAAUAAACGCUGAUAACAAUCAGUACGCACUCGCUGCCUAAUAAGUAGCGCGUGACGCCCAUUUAAGGGCUCGUCGGCCCAUUGCACUCACGCUUUGGGGUUCCGGCGUCGCAUCGUGAGAAACGGUGUAUGGUAAGCUUUGCCCAUGCAUACGUAUUAUGAAGCUACCCCGGAAGUGAGUUUGUCAGGAGCGCUCAUUUCCGGAGGAACGUGCCUGCAGAAGGCAAAAGAACUGACUAUGACAGUAGAAUGACAGAGGGAUGGUUCUUUGGACACGGGUUCGACUCCCGUCUACUCCACUA